UAGGCGACGGGUGAGUAACGCGUGGGGAACCUGCCUUGCACCGGGGGAUAACACUUAGAAAUAGGUGCUAAUACCGCAUAAGCGCACAGAGCCGCAUGGCUCAGUGUGAAAAACUCCGGUGGUGCAAGAUGGACCCGCGUCUGAUUAGCUGGUUGGCGGGGUAACGCCCACCAAGGCGACGAUCAGUAGCCGGCCUGAGAGGGUGAACGGCCACAUUGGGACUGAGACACGGCCCAAACUCCUACGGGAGGCAGCAG
rnacentral:rRNA from 1 species